GUCGAUUCGUCUUGUAAUGGAAAUGUGUGGUGGAAGUGAAUUGUCCGAUAGGAUUGUUGAUCAAGCCUGAGAACUUCUUCCUCUUUAGUAAAGAUGAGAACGCUAUGCUCAAAGCUACUGACUUUGGAUUGUCUGUUUUCAUUGGAGAAGUUGAGAAUGCUAUACAUACAACUCUUCUGGUUAUAAGAUAUAUGUAAAUGCUAUGUUUUAGAUUUCUUAAGAUUAUAACCAAUGUUUAUUUUCAGGUGUGAUCCAUAUAUAACUUGAGAGUCUUAUUAGUUUAGUUCAUAGUGGUAAUCUUCAAAACAGAGGCUUUGCAAGUUGGGAAUGGAAGGUUUACAGAGAUGAGUGCAGAGAUUAUUCUAGACAUCUUGCUUUGUGGUGUACCUCCCUUACUUGCAAAGAACUGAAAACCAGGGUGGCUAAAAGAUGAAGUUAACAAUAUCAUGGAAGUUAUUACUAUAGAUACAGACUGGAUUGAGAUGAGCACUUGUUCAAAGACUUCCAAUACUCUGACAAAGACAAGAGCUGGCAGAACUGAAUUCGAAAGGAGUGGCGCAUUGUCUCAAAAUUUGCAUGUUUUCAUGCCCUUUUCUGAUUCUUACCACGUAUCUGACAGUCUGUGGUUCAGUGUAAAGCAACUAAGCAGUAGACAGAAGAAGCUGAAGUAGUCAAAGAAGGGCUUGAAGAAGCAUUUAACAAGUGCUUGGGAUCAAAAAAAUCUGGAUACUCGUUAUGUCAGAGGACAAUACUUACAACUGCAAUUGGGAUCAGUCACGGUGAAAAUAUAUUAGGUUAUACGACCGUACAAUGUAGGCUGUUUGUAUAUAAAAGAAAUGCAGUCUUGACUAUAUUGGAGAAAACAAAUGGUACAAGGAAGGCUUCUAUUAGAGUGUAUAGAAAGUUCAAAUACGUUUGAGUUUCAACAAAGAGCGUCUUCUGGUCUGGUAUAUAUGUGGAAAGGAGGAUAUAUUUUUUUGUAUGGCCCUGUUGGAGAAAGAAAAAUCUGCACAACACUGAACAAUAUUCUGAGACACUUAGAUGGAUUUGGCUAACACAGUUUUAUCACAAAGGUUGAGUUGGACUAAGCCCUGAAAGAGUACGUUCAAUGGCAUCCUGAAUCA